GGCGGAGGGGCCCGGCGGGAACAAACAGCCGCCGCCGCGGGAGCGCUGCUCGGGUGGCCGGAGGCAGAUCCUCCUCUAGCCCAUCCCGCAAACCCUCGCUCCCUGGAGCCGCUGCCUUCACUGCGCUCAGCCCUGGAUGGCAGCGCCCGGGCCACCGAGGCCGAAGCGCGGUUGGAGCCGCACCAGCGGAGCCUGAGACGCCGGGACCAAAGCCGCCAGAGCGGGGCCCGAAGGAACCCGAGCGGCUUCCGGCCCAAGGCGAGACGCGCUUAAGUGAUCGCAAGGAACAAAGUUGGCGUUCUCAGCCUCGGGCCUCGGAGAGGUGAGCGAUUCUGGCUGCGCCCCUGUCUUCCCCUCCAAGGCCUGGACCCCGCCUCAAGGGGACCCCAUCCCCUUGCCACACCGCGGGACUCCAGAUGGGAGACUGUGCGCGCGGACCCAGGGAGCGCGUCGCGUGCCCGUUGCC
ensembl:lncRNA